rnacentral:rRNA from 1 species
UUGGGCGUAAGCGAGCGCAGGCGGUCUUUUAAGUCUAAUGUGAAAGCCUUCGGCUCAMCCGAAGAAGUGCAUUGGAAACUGGGAGACUUGAGUGCAGAAGAGGACAGUGGAACUCCAUGUGUAGCGGUGAAAUGCGUAGAUAUAUGGAAGAACACCAGUGGCGAAGGCGGCUGUCUGGUCUGCAACUGACGCUGAGGCUCGAAAGCAUGGGUAGCGAACAGGAUUAGAUACCCUGGUAGUCCAUGCCGUAAACGAUGAUUACUAAGUGUUGGAGGGUUUCCGCCCUUCAGUGCUGCAGCUAACGCAUUAAGUAAUCCGCCUGGGGAGUACGACCGCAAGGUUGAAACUCAAAAGAAUUGACGGGGGCCCGCACAAGCGGUGGAGCAUGUGGUUUAAUUCGAAGCUACGCGAAGAACCUUACCAGGUCUUGACAUCUUCUGACAGUCUAAGAGAUUAGAGGUUCCCUUCGGGGACAGAAUGACAGGUGGUGCAUGGUUGUCGUCAGCUCGUGUCGUGAGAUGUUGGGUUAAGUCCCGCAACGAGCGCAACCCUUAUUACUAGUUGCCAGCAUUAAGUUGGGCACUCUAGUGAGACUGCCGGUGACAAACCGGAGGAAGGUGGGGACGACGUCAAAUCAUCAUGCCCCUUAUGACCUGGGCUACACACGUGCUACAAUGGAUGGUACAACGAGUCGCGAAACCGCGAGGUUAAGCUAAUCUCUUAAAACCAUUCUCAGUUCGGACUGUAGGCUGCAACUCGCCUACACGAAGUCGGAAUCGCUAGUAAUCGCGGAUCAGCAUGCCGCGGUGAAUACGUUCCCGGGCCUUGUACACACCGCCCGUCACACCAUGAGAGUUUGUAACACCCAAAGSCGGUGGGGUAACCUUUUAGGAGCUAGCCGUCUAAGGUGGGACAGAUGA